rnacentral:rRNA from 1 species
UACGUAGGUGGCAAGCGUUAUCCGGAUUUAUUGGGCGUAAAGGGAACGCAGGCGGUCUUUUAAGUCAGAUGUGAAAGCCUUCGGCUUAACCGGAGUAGUGCAUUGGAAACUGGGAGACUUGAGUGCAGAAGAGGAGAGUGGAACUCCAUGUGUAGCGGUGAAAUGCGUAGAUAUAUGGAAGAACACCAGUGGCGAAAGCGGCUCUCUGGUCUGUAACUGACGCUGAGGUUCGAAAGCGUGGGUAGCAAACAGG